GAUGAACGCUGGCGGCGUGCCUAAUACAUGCAAGUCGAGCGAACGGACGAGAAGCUUGCUUCUCUGAUGUUAGCGGCGGACGGGUGAGUAACACGUGGAUAACCUACCUAUAAGACUGGGAUAACUUCGGGAAACCGGAGCUAAUACCGGAUAAUAUUUUGAACCGCAUGGUUCAAAAGUGAAAGACGGUCUUGCUGUCACUUAUAGAUGGAUCCGCGCUGCAUUAGCUAGUUGGUAAGGUAACGGCUACCAAGGCAACGAUGCAUAGCCGACCUGAGAGGGUGAACGGCCACACUGGAACUGAGACACGGUCCAGACUCCUACGGGAGGCAGCAGUAGGGAAUCUUCCGCAAUGGGCGAAAGCCUGACGGAGCAACGCCGCGUUAGUGAUGAAGGUCUUCGGAUCGUAAAACUCUGUUAUUAGGGAAGAACAGUUGUGUAAGUAACUGUGCACAUCUUGACGGUACCUAAUCAGAAAGCCACGGCUAACUACGUG
rnacentral:rRNA from 1 species